UGGAUUGAUUGAUACAGGUAAACAACGUUAAAUCGCUUUAUUGUUUUAGUAAAUUACGUACAUACAAGCUAUUCCAAAUGGGUAACGAGCAUUUUAUAGCAUAAAAAAGAUGCUCACUUCUAGGAUGUUUCCAAGUUCUUGUUAAAAGUGUUUUAUAUGGCACCAUUCAGCUACAAAUAUUUUGCCAGUGGAACUGUGACAUCAAUCAACUGCUCAUGCACUGCUAAUUGGCAGAGAAUUUCCUUUGGGAGAAGCAAACUGUUUCAAACAUUUUACACCUGCAAGUAGUGAUGAGUGUACUGGAAGGUUUUUAGGAUCUCUUCCAACAUCAUAGGUACAACUGGUCACUGUGCUUGCUUGGUUAUAUAAGCCGGCAUAUUGUUAAGGCAGUGACAUAUGUAGCUCCAAAUGAUGCUUGACUGUUUUUCUUCAAAUUAUAAGUAAACCCGGAUUGAUCUCUGAUGCAGUAAUAUUGUGCCAUGUCCAUUUUUUAAAUUCUAUCUUCCCACUGUCACAAAGUACUGAAAUAAAAAUGAUUUGAUUUUAAAUA